GCGGUGUUUGCGGCCCAGCGCGGUGACCGGACCCUGCAGUUCUUGCCGCCGCGGCUGGGAGUCUUUGCUGCCCUCGGGCACCCGCGCGCCGAGGCUGUGGUGCUAGCUAAACUUGGCGGACGCUCCGGGCUCUUGGAAUUCGACUGCCUCCAUUGUUGCUCCUUCUGACACUCACAGACCACAUCUCUUCAGUGGACUCCCUGAUGGGUAGGUUCGCUCCAGUAGAAGUGGGGUUUCACCAUAUUGAUCAAGCUGGUCUCGGUCUCCUGACCUCGUGAUCUGCCCACCUCAGCCUCCCCAGAGUGCUGGGAUUACAGGCGUGAGCCAUCGCGCCCAGCCUGCUUCCUGUUUUAACAGACGAAGAAAGGCAUAACUUCCAGCCAAGCUGGAGCUGAAGGAGUGCCCAGGCUGGGAGUGGAGGAAGGACGUGCUCAGGAGAAGGUGAAGAUGGGAGAGAAGCAAGAUCUAUGUGUUUGGGCAAAGGACACAUUUCCUUACUCCAUAGCAGUUGAGGUUAGUGGCUUAGCUCUGCAAGGAGAUGAGCCCAUGUUUUGUGUGGGUUCUUCUGGGAACUCUGAGAAGGCAGGGGCCAUCCAUCGCUGCCUCUCUUCCAUUCUACAGCAUGGAAUAUGGAUGUGUGGUCUGGAUGUAUAGACACCAUUUUGGACCAUAAAGACAAGGACGAUUGUCUAAGGAUAACACAGCCAGAGAACUGGGAAUGGUGAGGACAGGGGAGCUGCUGUGCCAAGUAGGACUGCCUCUCUCUUAAGAGAAAAAUAAAACUUAUUAGUGUUUAAAGCA